GACGAACGCUGGCGGCGUGCCUAACACAUGCAAGUCGAACGGAAAGGCCAUGAUUUUGUGCGGUGCUCGAGUGGCGAACGGGUGCGUAACACGUGAGUAUACCGCCCUUGACUUUGGGAUAACUUCAGGAAACUGGGGCUAAUACCGGCUAGCAGCUCCUGCAGCAUGGUGGGGGUUGGAAAGUUUCGGCCGUUGGAGCUGGACUCGCGGCUUAUCAGCUUGUUGGUGGGGUAGUGGCAUAACAAGGCAUUGAGGGGUAGUCAGCAUGAGAGGGUGACCGGGCACAAUGCGACUAAGAUACGGACCAGAAUCCUACGGGAGGCAGUAGUGGGGAAUAUUACACAGGGGGCGGAGGCGUGAGACAGAAACGCCGCGGGCGGGAUGACGGCCUACAAGUGUUAAACCGAUUUCGCCUGAGACAAGGCGGGAGUGACGGUAAUGGGUAAAGAAGCACCGGCUAACUACGUG
rnacentral:rRNA from 1 species